AUUGAACGCUGGCGGCAGGCUUAACACAUGCAAGUCGAGCGGGGAAGGGUAGCUUGCUACCUGACCUAGCGGCGGACGGGUGAGUAAUGCUUAGGAAUCUGCCUAUUAGUGGGGGACAACAUUCCGAAAGGAAUGCUAAUACCGCAUACGCCCUACGGGGGAAAGCAGGGGAUCUUCGGACCUUGCGCUAAUAGAUGAGCCUAAGUCAGAUUAGCUAGUCGGUGGGGUAAAGGCCUACCAAGGCGACGAUCUGUAGCGGGUCUGAGAGGAUGAUCCGCCACACUGGGACUGAGACACGGCCCAGACUCCUACGGGAGGCAGCAGUGGGGAAUAUUGGACAAUGGGCGAAAGCCUGAUCCAGCCAUGCCGCGUGUGUGAAGAAGGCCUUUUGGUUGUAAAGCACUUUAAGCGAGGAGGAGGCUACCGAGAUUAAUACUCUUGGAUAGUGGACGUUACUCGCAGAAUAAGCACCGACUAACUCUGUGCCAGCCGCCGCAGUAA
rnacentral:rRNA from 1 species